AUUGAACGCUGGCGGCAGGCCUAACACAUGCAAGUCGAGCGCGAAAGGGUUUCGGCCUGAGUAGAGCGGCGGACGGGUGAGGAAUGCAUGGGAAUCUGCCUGGUAGUGGGGGAUAACGCGGGGAAACUCGCGCUAAUACCGCAUACGUCCUACGGGAGAAAGUGGGGGACCUUCGGGCCUCACGCGAUCAGAGGAGCCCAUGCCGGAUUAGCUAGUUGGUAGGGUAAAGGCCUACCAAGGCGACGAUCCGUAGCUGGUCUGAGAGGAUGAUCAGCCACACCGGAACUGAGACACGGUCCGGACUCCUACGGGAGGCAGCAGUGGGGAAUAUUGGACAAUGGGGGCAACCCUGAUCCAGCCAUGCCGCGUGUGUGAAGAAGGCCUUCGGGUUGUAAAGCACUUUCAGCGGGGAGGAAGGCAUCAUGGUUAAUAACCAUGGUGAUUGACGUUACCCGCAGAAGAAGCACCGGCUAACUCUGUGCCAGCCGCCGCGGUAA
rnacentral:rRNA from 1 species